AGCAGGACAAGAGCCAACCUGGAAAGAGCAGCUUUGUAAAUGUUGCUCCAGCCAAGCAUAAGGAUCGCAAAGUUUCAUCUGAUUUGUCUGCAGUCCUUGCUCUAUUUGCUCCCACUAAUGCUCUCAAUUCCAAGAUCCCAAGGAAAUGUAAUGAAAGCAAGAGUAACAAAGUAAAUAGUUGGGUCGAAAAAGAUUUCAAGCAGUUCUACAAGCGCAGGAUACUGAGCAACAACUAGCCACCUACUUGUCUCGGGUAAUAACCAUCUACCUUGUGAGAUUCUGUAAUUGGAAAUUGAGUCCAUUUCCAAUUACUGGCAGUGUUUAUUUACACCGUUACUUCCACGUAUGCGGAACGUCGCGAUCGUGCACUAAAAGUUUUUGUAAGGUAGGACGUUGAGGGUACUUCUUUUGGUAGCUUUUCUCUAUGGCGAUUGUGAUUAUUUCCUUUGGGUGCACUUGUAAGUCAUCCAUCGAUGCCUUCACAGUAUGCUCAUCACUUAGAAGAGUAUUUUGUAGCGGUUUCCCUUUUCCUCAGUUUAUUCUGGUUUAGAUUUCAA